rnacentral:sRNA from 1 species
AGUGCUAUGAAGGUGACAGCGUGAGGUGACCCAUCUGGCCCCCCGCGAUGCUGGCAACACGGCGGCUGCUCGGCUGGUCGCUUCCCGCGCGGGUAUCUGUGCGUUUCAGCGGCGACACGGUGAGGCCCGGCCUGGCUGGGGCCACGGGUGUUCGGGGCCGGGUGUCGCGGCCGCGCCUGUGCACGAGCAGUCCCUGGGGUCUGUAGUGGCCUCUGGAGAGCCCUUCUCCCCAGGCCAGGCGGGAAGGCCCCCGCUCCGGCCUGGUUGAUGUAGGGGAACGGGUCCCAACGCGGGGCCGACUCCUUUGGCCCUCUGACUUGCUGGCUUCCCUUGUUUUACAGUCCUCGGCCUGGCGGAAGUUUUGCAGACAGCACCCAAGAAAACCUCAUUUGGCUCGCUGAAGGAUGAAGACCGGAUUUUCACCAACCUGUACGGCCGCCAUGACUGGAGGUGAGACAGUGCCCUUAGUGUGUUGGGUCCGGGAGCAAGGUGUCCCCUUCAUUGCCUUCCCUAUUCUGUCCAGGCUGAAAGGUUCCCUGAGUCGAGGUGACUGGUACAAGACAAAGGAGAUCCUGCUGAAGGGGCCCGACUGGAUCCUGGGCGAGAUCAAGACAUCGGGUUUGCGGGGCCGUGGAGGCGCUGGCUUCCCCACUGGCCUCAAGUGGAGCUUCAUGAAUAAGCCCUCAGAUGGCAGGCCCAAGUAUCUGGUGGUGAACGCAGACGAGGGGGAGCCGGGCACCUGCAAGGACCGGGAGAUCUUACGCCAUGAUCCUCACAAGCUGGUGGAAGGCUGCCUGGUGGGGGGCCGGGCCAUGGGCGCCCGCGCCGCCUAUAUCUAC